UCGGAAAAAAAUGGACGGGAAUAAACUCCGUGUACAGUCUUCGGUCAGAAAAAUAACUAUUAUAAGGCGAGCACAGCAAUUUGGAUUAAAAGGCUUAGAUACUUCUUGGACCCUUGGGAAUUUAUUAAAAAAUAUUGAAAACUAUGACGCAAAGUGAAUCAGAUGAAUCAGGGUGCCCCGAGGGACGUGUCUUUGUCCCCACCUCCUGCCGUUGUGGGUUAAUCCAGUCGGUCCAUGAGGGACCGGGCACGGGCCACCCAGUGGAGAAGAGAACAAUCCAACUCAUUCAGGCGCAUUACUGGUGGCCAAGGAUGGCAGAGGAGGUUACCCGCUACGUCCAGGAGUGAGCCACCUGCGCCAUGGCCAAAGUACCACGCCACCUGCCCGUCAGCAAGUUGGUGCUGCUCCCCGUCCCUCAGUGCCCCUGGACACAUACCUAGGGAUCGACUUUGUGACCGACCUGCCAGGGUUAGGCCACCGCACUUCCACCGCGUACCACAGGAUUACUCAGAGUUGCUGCGAGUUACGUGCUUUUACUGAAUAAACUCUGUUUGCUUUCA